rnacentral:rRNA from 1 species
UACGGAGGGGGCUAGCGUUGUUCGGAAUUACUGGGCGUAAAGCGCACGUAGGCGGCUUUGUAAGUUAGAGGUGAAAGCCCGGGGCUCAACUCCGGAAUUGCCUUUAAGACUGCAUCGCUAGAAUUGUGGAGAGGUAAGUGGAAUUCCGAGUGUAGAGGUGAAAUUCGUAGAUAUUCGGAAGAACACCAGUGGCGAAGGCGACUUACUGGACACAUAUUGACGCUGAGGCGCGAAAGCGUGGGGAGCGAACAGG